UACGAAGGGGGCUAGCGUUGCUCGGAAUCACUGGGCGUAAAGAGCACGUAGGCGGAUUUCUAAGUCAGGGGUGAAAUCCUGGAGCUCAACUCCAGAACUGCCUUUAAUACUGGAGAUCUCGAGUCCGGAAGAGGUGAGUGGAACUGCGAGUGUAGAGGUGAAAUUCGUAGAUAUUCGCAAGAACACCAGUGGCGAAGGCGGCUCACUGGUCCGGUACUGACGCUGAGGCGCGAAAGCGUGGGGAGCGAACGGG
rnacentral:rRNA from 1 species